rnacentral:rRNA from 1 species
GAGGAAUAUUGGGCAAUGCCCGCAAGGGUGACCCAGCAACGCCGCGUGGAGGAUGAAUGUCGUAAGAUUGUAAACUCCUGUUAGAGGGGAAGAAUAGUACCGGUUGGACCGGUAUAUGACUGUACCCUCAGAGAAAGCCCCGGCUAACUACGUGCCAGCAGCCGCGGUAAUACAGAGGGUGCAAGCGUUAAUCGGAAUUACUGGGCGUAAAGGGCGCGUAGGUGGUUAAUUAAGUCAGAUGUGAAAUCCCCGGGCUUAACCUGGGAAUUGCAUUUGAAACUGAUUGGCUAGAGUACGGGAGAGGGAAGUGGAAUUUCCGGUGUAGCGGUGAAAUGCGUAGAUAUCGGAAGGAACACCAGUGGCGAAGGCGACUUCCUGGCCCGUUACUGACACUGAGGCGCGAAAGCGUGGGGAGCGAACA